ensembl:lncRNA
GUGCACAUUCAAAUGAAUUCAAUGCAUUGAGAAACAGACUCGAUGUGAAAUGAGAGUUUGAGAGCCGGGGGAUGAAUUUCAGCAGCAGCACAACGAGGCGAAAGAUUUCCUUCAGAAAAUAGAGACACGCAGAUGAAAUCAACGCAUGGACCCUUCAGCUACUACAAACGACCAGACGUACACAGGUAACCUGUGCAGACGUGGCGUUUCCGUUGAAGACCUUAGAACGACCGUAGUUACUGUUGCUAGGACACAAAAGAAGGAACAAAGUCAGAUUGACAUCAUGCAGGUUCACCAGGACCCGUCCAGCAGAGACCGUGGACAGACCCAGAUCCUCCAGGGACCCGUCCAGCAGAGACCGUGGACAGACCCAGAUCCCCCAGAGACCAGUCCGCUGUGGACAGAUCCAGAUCGGGCUUCACCAGAGCCUUGGACCUGCAGCCGUAGCUGCGGAGGUAUAUUGCUGAAGUGAAACUUUCAAAGUGAAGAGGGAUGCAAGAAACUCAUCUAUCACCUCAGAAUGAGCGUCUCAGCAAAUGUGCAGACAGGAGUGACCUAGAUAGAUACGCUGAAUACCCCUCUACCUGUGUUGGUAUAAACGACUACAUUUUGUGGGGGCUGACGUGAUGAUGAAUCAC